UACAGAGGGUGCGAGCGUUAAUCGGAGUUACUGGGCGUAAAGGGCGCGUAGGCGGCCUGAUAAGUAGGGGGUGAAAUCCUGCGGCUUAACCGCAGGGCUGCCUUCUAAACUGUCAGGCUGGAGCACAGUAGAGGCAGGUGGAAUUCCCGGUGUAGCGGUGGAAUGCGUAGAGAUCGGGAAGAACAUCAGUGGCGAAGGCGGCCUGCUGGGCUGUUGCUGACGCUGAGGCGCGACAGCGUGGGGAGCAAACAGG
rnacentral:rRNA from 1 species